rnacentral:rRNA from 1 species
UACGUAGGUGGCAAGCGUUGUCCGGAUUACUGGGCGUAAAGAGCGCGCAGGCGGUCGUUCAAGUCGCGUGUGAAAGCCCCCGGCUCAACUGGGGAGGGUCACGCGAUACUGAUCGACUCGAAGGCAGGAGAGGGAAGUGGAAUUCCCGGUGUAGUGGUGAAAUGCGUAGAUAUCGGGAGGAACACCAGUGGCGAAGGCAAUCCCCUGGGCCUGCACUGACGCUCAUGCACGAAAGCGUGGGGAGCAAACAGG